rnacentral:rRNA from 1 species
GGUCAAGUGAAGAAGCGCAUACGGUGGAUGCCUUGGCAGUCAGAGGCGAUGAAAGACGUGGUAGCCUGCGAUAAGCUUUGGGGAGUCGGCAAACAGACUGUGAUCCAGAGAUCUCUGAAUGGGGGAACCCACUCAGCAUAAGCUGAGUAUCUUGUACUGAAUACAUAGGUGCAAGAGGCGAACCAGGGGAACUGAAACAUCUAAGUACCCUGAGGAAAAGAAAUCAACCGAGAUUCCCUUAGUAGUGGCGAGCGAACGGGGACCAGCCCUUAAGUUGGUUUGAGAUUAGUGGAACGCUCUGGAAAGUGCGGCCAUAGUGGGUGAUAGCCCCGUACACGAAAAUCUCUUAUCAAUGAAAUCGAGUAGGACGGAGCACGAGAAACUUUGUCUGAAUAUGGGGGGACCAUCCUCCAAGGCUAAAUACUACUGACUGACCGAUAGUGAACCAGUACCGUGAGGGAAAGGCGAAAAGAACCCCUGUGAGGGGA